GCUUUAGCCAAGCCCAGUGUGCUGGAUUUAAAUGGUCCAGUUUUGUCACAUUUGCUUUGCUCAACCGAGCACUGGCGCUAAGGUAACCACUCUUGGCUCAGAGCCUGUUGUUUAGAACACGAAACAAAUUGACUUCUCCUCCCCCAAGUCUUUGCCUUUUGUAAUUUUGCUUUGGCGUUGUUGUUUGUGUGUGACCAGCCCUGGGAUUUCACCUCGUCCUUGAGAGACCAGCGCAAAUCAACACAGAUAAGACAUCCCGACCCUGUUCACCUAACCCGGAGGGUCGUUUUCCUUCGAGACACGUGGACGGAGACGUACGCGACACUAGGGACCGAAGAGCUCCAGCCUCUAUAGAGGGACUCAGACAGGGUGGGAGGAGAUCCCAGCAGGUAAAAAGACCCACCGCAGGUCACGACCACAAACAGCAUAUCAGCUGGCUAUUUCUGAAGGGGCCAUUGUGCUUGAUUUCGGCCCAGACGCUACAGCAAAACCCUUACAUACACAUACACACACACGUCCCUCACACCUGGGUGUAGGUCAAACUGUUUAAGGGCAAUGGCUUGUAAAUGUUACUUUCACUUGUAUGGGAGGCGGU
rnacentral:lncRNA from 1 species